AUGGCCUACGGGGGGCAGCAGUGAGGAAUAUUGGUCAAUGGCCGGGAGGCUGAACCAGCCAAGUCGCGUGAGGGAAGACGGCCCUACGGGUUGUAAACCUCUUUUGUCAGGGAGCAAGGUGCAGGUCGGGACCUGCUGUGAGAGUACCUGAAGAAAAAGCAUCGGCUAACUCCGUGCCAGCAGCCGCGGUAAUACGGAGGAUGCGAGCGUUAUCCGGAUUUAUUGGGUGUAAAGGGCGUGUAGGCGGGAGCGCAAGUCAGAUGUGAAAACUCAGGG
rnacentral:rRNA from 1 species